GCUAUAAUGCAGUCGAGCGGACCGACGGGAGCUUGCUCCCUUAGGUCAGCGGCGGACGGGUGAGUAACACGUGGGUAACCUGCCUGUAAGACUGGGAUAACUCCGGGAAACCGGGGCUAAUACCGGAUGCUUGAUUGAACCGCAUGGUUCAAUUAUAAAAGGGGGCUUUUAGCUACCACUUGCAGAUGGACCCGCGGCGCAUUAGCUAGUUGGUGAGGUAACGGCUCACCAAGGCGACGAUGCGUAGCCGACCUGAGAGGGUGAUCGGCCACACUGGGACUGAGACACGGCCCAGACUCCUACGGGAGGCAGCAGUAGGGAAUCUUCCGCAAUGGACGAAAGUCUGACGGAGCAACGCCGCGUGAGUGAUGAAGGUUUUCGGAUCGUAAAACUCUGUUGUUAGGGAAGAACAAGUACCGUUCGAAUAGGGCGGCACCUUGACGGUACCUAACCAGAAAGCCACGGCUAACUACGUGCCAGCAGCCGCGGUAAUACGUAGGUGGCAAGCGUUGUCCGGAAUUAUUGGGCGUAAAGCGCGCGCAGGCGGUUUCUUAAGUCUGAUGUGAAAGCCCCCGGCUCAACCGGGGAGGGUCAUUGGAAACUGGGGAACUUGAGUGCAGAAGAGGAGAGUGGAAUUCCACGUGUAGCGGUGAAAUGCGUAGAGAUGUGGAGGAACACCAGUGGCGAAGGCGACUCUCUGGUCUGUAACUGACGCUGAGGCGCGAAAGCGUGGGGAGCGAACAGGAUUAGAUACCCUGGUAGUCCACGCCGUAAACGAUGAGUGCUAAGUGUUAGAGGGUUUCCGCCCUUUAGUGCUGCAGCAAACGCAUUAAGCACUCCGCCUGGGGAGUACGGUCGCAAGACUGAAACUCAAAGGAAUUGACGGGGGCCCGCACAAGCGGUGGAGCAUGUGGUUUAAUUCGAAGCAACGCGAAAACCUUACCAGGUCUUGACAUCCUCUGACAACCCUAGAGAUAGGGCUUCCCCUUCGGGGGCAGAGUGACAGGUGGUNCAUGGUNNUCGUCAGCUCGUGUCGUGAGAUGUUGGGUUAAGUCCCGCAACGAGCGCA
rnacentral:rRNA from 1 species